GCGGGCGUAGCUCAAUGGUAGAGCGCUUGCUUCCCAAGCAAGAUACGCGGGUUCGAUUCCCGUCGCCCGCUC
rnacentral:tRNA from 1 species